GGCCAGGUGGCAGAGUGGUUAUGCAGAGGACUGCAAAUCCUUGGAUGCCGGUUCGAUUCCGACCCUGGCCUCCA
rnacentral:tRNA from 2 species